GCAAGGGUGGUCGAGCGGUUAAUGGCACCGGGCUGUAAACCCGGCAGACGAAAGUCUUACAUAGGUUCAAAUCCUAUCCCUUGCACCA
rnacentral:tRNA from 1 species